rnacentral:lncRNA from 1 species
GAAGAUUCAGGAUCAGGACCAUAGUAAGAUAUGAGUGUCUAGGUAGCAUGACAACAGCCAGAACCACUUCUCAACAAUUGUGUGAUGUGUACACAGCUGCUGCAGUCCUGGACACUCAUCACUGCCACCCAUGACUCUGGAAUUGGGUAUUGCUGUGGACAACAAUACUACUUUGUUCUGGGAAAGAAUGCCCCUUCAUCCUUGCUUCUUUGAGUCACUCAAUGGAGAUUCAAGGUCUUCCGCAUCACCUUGGUGUUCUCACUUGCGGUGUGCCCACUGCACGAGCUUUCUGCUAUUCUACUGCACAUUCACAGCUCACUUGGAAGAAACUUUAGUAAGAUUCUUGGAAUCUUUCUCACAGCAGGAAGAGUCCUAAGAGACCGAGCUACUCCUUUUACAAUAAUUGAGACACAGACCGCUGGCAAAUGAAAUUUGCCCCAAAUUUGGAAGACCAUCUCAUAGGCAUGACAACAAAAGACUCAUGUGUUUGUUUUAACUUGGUGUGGUUUUUUUUAAUUAUGGGGGUAGUUUUAUUUAUUUUCAAAUAUGUAGUAGCUACUUGCAUUACUUUUUAAUAAACCAC